rnacentral:misc_RNA from 1 species
UCGUAACAAGGUCUCCGUUGGUGAACCAGCGGAGGGAUCAUUACCGAGUUUUCAACUCCCAAACCCUUAUGUGAACCUACCUAUCGUUGCUUCGGCGGACUCGCCCCAGCCGGACGCGGACUGGACCAGCGGCCGCCGGGGACCAUCAAACUCUUGUAUUAUCAGCAUCUUCUGAAUACGCCGCAAGGCAAAACAAAUAAAUUAAAACUUUCAACAACGGAUCUCUUGGCUCUGGCAUCGAUGAAGAACGCAGCGAAAUGCGAUAAGUAAUGUGAAUUGCAGAAUCCAGUGAAUCAUCGAAUCUUUGAACGCACAUUGCGCCCGCCAGCAUUCUGGCGGGCAUGCCUGUUCGAGCGUCAUUUCAACCCUCGACCUCCCUUUGGGGAAGUCGGCGUUGGGGACCGGCAGCACACCGCCGGCCCUGAAAUGGAGUGGCGGCCCGUCCGCGGCGACCUCUGCGUAGUAAACCAACUCGCACCGGAACCCCGACGUGGCCACGCCGUAAAACACCCAACUUCUGAACGUUGACCUCGAAUCAGGUAGGACUACCCGCUGAACCUAAGCAUAU